UGGGGAAUAUUGCACAAUGGGCGAAAGCCUGAUGCAGCAACGCCGCGUGAGUGAUGAAGGCCUUCGGGUUGUAAAGCUCUGUCUUUUGGGACGAUAAUGACGGUACCAAAGGAGGAAGCCACGGCUAACUACGUGCCAGCAGCCGCGGUAAUACGUAGGUGGCAAGCGUUGUCCGGAUUUACUGGGCGUAAAGGAUGCGUAGGCGGAUUUUUAAGUGAGAUGUGAAAACCCUAAGCUUAACUUGGGGACUGCAUUUCAUACUGGAAAUCUAGAGUGCGGGAGAGGAGAAUGGAAUUCCUAGUGUAGCGGUGAAAUGCGUAGAGAUUAGGAAGAACACCAGUGGCGAAGGCGAUUCUCUGGACCGUAACUGACGCUGAGGCAUGAAAAGCGUGGGUAGCAAACAGGAUUAGAUACCCUGGUAGUCCACGCCGUAAACGAUGGGUACUAGGUGUAGGAGGUAUCGACCCCUUCUGUGCCGCAGUUAACACAAUAAGUACUCCGCCUGGGAAGUACGAUCGCAAGAUUAAAAACUC
rnacentral:rRNA from 1 species